CCAGUCACACCCAGUGGCAACCAUAAAUUCUCGCUGGGGCCUGCAAAUGUUGUACCCAAGCAAGUCAAGGAAUGCACCACACUCUGAGAAUGAAUUAUGAGCCCUUUAUUAG
rnacentral:pre_miRNA from 13 species